rfam:Gossypium raimondii chromosome 11, whole genome shotgun sequence.
UGCAAUCUAUUAUGAAAAUGAAUCAUCAAACCUGAUGUGUCUUAUGAUGAUUAUAUAAAUAUUCACCAUCUUUUGGCUGAGAUUGCU